AACGAACGCUGGCGGCGUGGAUAAGACAUGCAAGUCGAGCGGAAUACACAGGGUAGCAAUAUUCUGUGUGUUCAGCGGCGCAAGGGUGCGUAACACGUGGGUAAUUUGCCAUGAAGUUUGGGAUAACUUGCUGAAAGGCGAGCUAAUACCGGAUGUGACUUUUGGGAGGCAUCUCUCGAAAUUCAAAGUUGGGGACCGUAAGGCCUGACGCUUCUUGAUAAGCCCGCGGUCUAUCAGCUAGUUGGUGAGGUAACGGCUCACCAAGGCUAAGACGGAUAGCUGGUCUGAGAGGACGACCAGCCACACUGGAACUGAGACACGGUCCAGACACCUACGGGUGGCAGCAGUCGAGAAUUUUUCACAAUGGGCGAAAGCCUGAUGGAGCGACGCCGCGUGGGGGAUGAAUGGCUUCGGCCCGUAAACCCCUGUCAUUUGCGAACAAACCUUAUCGGUUAACAACCGGUGAGCUGAUUGUAGCGGAAGAGGAAGGGACGGCUAACUC
rnacentral:rRNA from 1 species